GGAGUUAGCCGGUGCUUCUUCUGUGAGUGAUGUCCUUCCUGCCGGUUAUUGACCCGCAGGCCUUCUUCCUCACUGAAAGUGCUUUACAACCCGAAGGCCUUCUUCACACACGCGGCAUGGCUGGAUCAGGGUUGCCCCCAUUGUCCAAUAUUCCCCACUGCUGCCUCCCGUAGGAGUCUGGGCCGUGUCUCAGUCCCAGUGUGGCUGAUCAUCCUCUCAGACCAGCUACGGAUCGUCGCCUUGGUGAGCCGUUACCUCACCAACCAGCUAAUCCGACAUAGGCUCAUCCGAUAGCGCGAGGCCCGAAGGUCCCCCGCUUUCCCCCGUAGGGCCGUAUGCGGUAUUAGCCUGGGUUUCCCCAGGUUAUCCCCCACUACCGGGCAGAUUCCUAUGCAUUACUCACCCGUCCGCCGCUCGCCACCAGGGAGCAAGCUCCCCGUGCUGCCGCUCGACUUGCAUGUGUUAGGCCUGCCGCCAGCGUUCAAUCUGAGCCAGGAUCAAACUCUGA
rnacentral:rRNA from 1 species